AUUAAAAUUAUAAAUUAAAUAUUAAAAUAAAUAUUAAAUGUUAAAAUAAUUAUGAACAUAUUAAAAAUAAAUAUUAAAAAUAAAUAUUAAAAAUAACUAUUAAAAAUAUUAAAAAUAUUAACAAUAAAUGACAGUUUGAUGGAGCAGCAUUUAAAGUAAGAGCUCCAGACAAUCUGGAUAUUUUAAGUAAAGUGAAAAAAAAUCUCUAGGAGCUUCCAAAAGCUCUGAAUUAUUUCCAGGCUCCCAGUAAAAUGCUCUGAUGGAUUUAAUUAAGGCUCUCAAUGGAAUUUUACAGAGAAAAGCAGUGUUACUAACCCAGAAAACACAGAGAUUAUUUUUUUAAUUCAAAGUGGGAAGCUGUCCCGGGCACUGAGCACAAUUUGAUUUUAAAGAUUGGUUUUCGUUUGUCUCCAACAGGUGAAAUCCACUGAAGUCCGAGUGGUUUUCCACACUCACCUCCCGAAUUCCAGGAGCAGAGGAAGGAGCAGGGAAUAAUGAAAUCACAGCUCUUUAAUGAGCCUCAGCUUUCAACAGCUCCGGGAUCCUCCAGAGCAAGGGCUCAGUUCCAGCAAAAUGACAAAAAUCUCUGUUCCUGGUCUGGAGGGAGAGCACAGCAAGGUCUGUAACAAAUUAUUCCUGUUGUGAUUGUAUCGAGCACUCCUGAAAUUUGUGUCCUACAAAGAGAAUUAACAACGUGGCUGUGGGAGCUGUUAGUCCUCAGCUCUGUCUUUGUAAGGCUCAGGUGAAUAUUUAAAGAUUAUUUAAUAUUAAUAUUUAUCUUUUGGUGGGGUUAAACCCUGCGCCAAUGCUCACCAGCAGGCACCGGGUAGCACCGAAAGGGAUUUUUGUUGGCUUUUGUUAACAAUCAGGGACUGGUUAUCACUGAAAGGGUUUGUUUUUUGCUGGCCUUGAAAUCCUCACCUUGUGAGAAUUGAAAGCAGGGAACAGGUAAAUAAAGGAAAAUGGGAUUGUGGUGUUAAUGGAUAA
rnacentral:lncRNA from 1 species